rnacentral:misc_RNA from 1 species
AAGUCGUAACAAGGUUUCCGUAGGUGAACCUGCGGAAGGAUCAUUAUCGAGUUUUGACUGGGUUGUAGCUGGCCUCCCGAGGCAUGUGCACGCCCUGCUCAUCCACUCUACACCUGUGCACUUACUGUGGGCUUCAGACGUCGUGAAGCGGGCUCUUUACGGAGCUUGUAGAGCGUGUCUGUGCCUGCGUUUACCACAAACUCUAUAAAGUAUUAGAACGUGUAUUGCGAUGUAACGCAUCUAUAUACAACUUUCAGCAACGGAUCUCUUGGCUCUC